CCUAGGUGAUUCAUACACACACUGCAAUUUAAGAAACACCGAGCUAGUGCAUAGCAAACAGAAAUCCACUUAGAAAAAUUCUAUGCACCCACCAGCUACUGAGAAAGCAGCCCCCUGAAGAGCAGCUACACAGGCUCCAGGAAACAAAGAAUCCUCAUCACAGGACACAGGGCAGAGCCUGCCGCCCCACUCAGACCUGCCGUUGAUUGCUCCAACACCUCCAACUUGAUACAGCGCCUGGGCUUCACUUACUAGAAUUGCUUCCAGGGUUCAAGGUUGCCUGUUCCUCUGAGAGAAAGUGGACUGAUGAAUGGGAAGAGGAUAUUAGGAAAUCCCAACCCAAAUAGGGCUUAGAAGGCAGCAGGGGCUGGUGGGCACCUACUCCCCACCCGCCACCAGACAUCUUUGGAGAGUCUUGUUACGAGCAGCCUGGAAAUUAACAUUGCUGACACUCAAACACCUUCUUGGAGGAGUGGGCUUGGGUAACGGAGGAACAAUUUUAGUCUGUGGCUUGUUUGGGGCCUGUCUGCAAAGGGGCUUUUCCACCUCAGGUGGUUUAAUAAAUACCCUGGUCCAGUCUGCACUCUCCUCUGCAGCUGUGGCACCAGUCACAGGCCCUGGGGAGUGCUCCCUGCACACUCCCCCUUUAAACUCACAGCCACCCCAUCUCCACACUUCUUAUCUAAACCCCAGCUCACUACCCUGCCUGCCACUGCACAGCUUCCCCAAGAAAAGUGAUUUUCCCACAGGCUGCUUCUGCACCAUGAGUCCAAUCCUUCAUCUGACUUUAUGUCCUGUCUCAUGGGGUCACAGAACUCAACUGUUCACAGUGCAAUGUAUUAUUCACUCUCACCCUGCAAAGUAUCUGAGAGACAGGGAAGAAAGGACGUGUCUGAGGCUGCUUCCACAGCCCAACAGGAUCCUUCCCAAGGAGCACCGCGUUGCCCAGCCACGGCAAACCCAGGGGGAUUCCCUAACCUCCUCAGGCUCAGAGACAUGGGUGCUUCCAGGCCCUACUAUGUUUUAAAGUCAGGUUCAUUGCAGAAUAAUUUCCAUGCAGUAAAAUGCACCCUUUCACUGAAGCAUACAGUUCAGUGAGUUUUGACAAAUGUAAUAACACCUGUUGGCUUAAAAUCCACCUGUUACUGAUGCUCUAUCAGACUAUGCUAAAUCAUCCUGAAUUUCCAGAACAAUUAAACCUGUUACAAAAAGUCUCCACAUUGUGGACUUUUGUCUUAUUCCCUAAUGUGGUGUUCAACUCAUCUUCUUGGCCACCAGUGUGAGUUUACACGUGUCACAUCCACAGUACCACCCAAUGUCUUGACAUGUCUAGCCCCCACCAGCCUGAUUGGCA
rnacentral:lncRNA from 1 species